UACAGAGGUCUCAAGCGUUGUUCGGAUUCAUUGGGCGUAAAGGGUGUGUAGGUGGCGCCGUAAGUCGGGGUGUGAAAUUUCGGAGCUUAACUCCGAAACUGCAUUCGAUACUGCGGUGCUUGAGGACUGGAGAGGAGACUGGAAUUCUCGGUGUAGCAGUGAAAUGCGUAGAUAUCGAGAGGAACACCAGUGGCGAAGGCGAGUCCCUGGACAACUCCUGACACUGAGGCACGAAAGCUAGGGGAGCAAACAGG
rnacentral:rRNA from 1 species